GCACAAUUUCCAAUGGUGUUCUACAUAGACUUCAACCUCCUUAGCCAGAUCAUCAUGGAGUCGAUACGAAUGCAGGUUCUAGAGUGGAGCUACCACCAGUCACCUACUCUACAUGGAUGACAUCAAGCUGUCUGUCAAGAGUGAGCGGGAUAUUGACUCACUGAUUCACCUGUGAUAACAGUAAGUGAUUCACACCAGACAUCCCAAGAAUAUUG